AUUGAACGCUGGCGGCAUGCUUUACACAUGCAAGUCGAACGGCAGCACGGACUUCGGUCUGGUGGCGAGUGGCGAACGGGUGAGUAAUACAUCGGAACGUACCCAGUAAUGGGGGAUAACUAUCCGAAAGGAUAGCUAAUACCGCAUACGCCCUACGGGGGAAAGAGGGGGAUCGCAAGACCUCUUGUUAUUGGAGCGGCCGAUGGCUGAUUAACUAGUUGGUGGGGUAAAGGCCUACCAAGGCAACGAUCAGUAGCGGGUCUUAGAGGACGAUCCGCCACACUGGAACUGAGAAACGGUCCGGACUCCUACGGGAGGCAGCAGUGGGGAAUCUUGGACAAUGGGCGCAAGCCUGAUCCAGCAAUGCCGCGUGCGUGAAGAAGGCCUUCGGGUUGUAAAGCGCUUUUGUCAGGGAGCAAAUCCUUGUGGCUAAUACCCACCGGGGAUGAGAGUACCUGAAGAAUAAGGACCGGCUAACUACGUGCCAGCCGCCGCGGUAACAC
rnacentral:rRNA from 1 species